rnacentral:rRNA from 1 species
CAGCCGCCGCGGUAAUACGAAGGGUGCAAGCGUUAAUCGGAAUUACUGGGCGUAAAGCGUGCGUAGGCGGUUUGUUAAGUCUGUUGUGAAAUCCCCGGGCUCAACCUGGGAAUGGCAAUGGAUACUGGCAAGCUAGAGUGUGUCAGAGGAUGGUGGAAUUCCCGGUGUAGCGGUGAAAUGCGUAGAGAUCGGGAGGAACAUCAGUGGCGAAGGCGGCCAUCUGGGACAACACUGACGCUGAGGCACAAAAGCGUGAGGAGCAAACAGGAUUAGAUACCCCAGUAGUCCCUGUCUCUUAUAC